rnacentral:rRNA from 1 species
CCUACGGGAGACAGCAGUCGGGAAUAUUGCGCAAUGGAGGAAACUCUGACGCAGUGACGCCGCGUGCAGGAAGAAGGUUUUCGGAUUGUAAACUGCUAUAGACAGGGAAGAAAAAAGACAUUACCUGUAGAAUCAGCUCCGGCUAACUACGUGCCAGCAGCCGGGGUAAUACGUAGGGAGCAAGCGUUACCCGGAUUUAUUGGGUGUAAAGGGUGCGUAGACGGAGAAGCAAGCUAGUUGUGAAAUCCCUCGGCUUAACUGAGGAACUGCAACUAAAACUACUUCCCUUGAGUGCAGGAGAGGAAAGUGGAAUUCCUAGUGUAGCGGUGAAAUGCGUAGAUAUUAGGAGGAACACCAGUGGCGAAGGCGACUUGCUGGACAGUAACUGACGUUGAGGCACGAAAGUGUGGGGAGCAAACAGGAUUAGAUACCCCAGUAGUC